UACGAAGGGGGCUAGCGUUGCUCGGAAUGACUGGGCGUAAAGGGCGCGUAGGCGGCGCAGUUAGUCAGGCGUGAAAUUCCUGGGCUCAACCUGGGAAUUGCAUUUGAGACUGCGUAGCUAGGGUGCGGAAGAGGGAAGCGGAAUUUCCGGUGUAGCGGUGAAAUGCGUAGAUAUCGGAAGGAACACCAGUGGCGAAAGCGGCUUCCUGGUCCAGCACCGACGUCAGGCACGAAAGCGUGGGGAGCAAACAGG
rnacentral:rRNA from 1 species